AGAUUAAUUUCCAAAAGAAAGAACCAACCUUCGCCUUCCGUCCUCACGACUAGCCACUUGAAAAUUCUAAAGCCACAUCAACAUGCAUUUCAUAACUACUGCGCUGUCAUAAACUCCAAAAUUAUUUUUCUAUUCCCAUCUGUCUUGUCGCAGAGUUGUGUUGUCUGGAUUUUUAUCGUCAUAAUUGUCGCCGGGAAAAUUUCUCUGGAACGUAGCCGUCGACAUGGCUGACGAGUUCGAGACCAGUGUGGACUUCGGUUUGAAGCUUUCUAAGAGAAUUUACUAUGGGAAGGGAUUGCCUCCGGCGCCGGUACUUGGAAUGUCGAAGUCAUCGGAGAGUUUCUUACCGACGGCGCUCAUGGUUUAUGCGGUGAUUCCAGAGCCAGAGGUAGUAGACAAUCCUGACGUGCCAAGUUACCAGCCUUACGUGCACGGGCGGUGCGAACCGCCGGCGUUGAUACCAUUGCAUAUGUACGGAGUAGCUAUGGAAGUUGGAAGUUGAAAGUUGUUUGGAUCAUGCAAACGUUAGUUUUAGCGGGAACUGGCGCGUGCAUUGCAUUAAGGCGAGUAGCAAGUGUGAUUGCCGCAUCGCCAUUCCUAUGGGAGACCAGGGUUCAAUUCUAGGUCUCUUGGAAUUUGGUCAAUCCCCAUUGGCCAAAAAACUUCGAGAGAGGAAAAGAUUUACUGUUAAGUGUGAAAACUUCAGUGUGUUUGGCAAAGAAAUUUAUGCAAGAGUACUUAGCCAUGCUCUUAAAGGUCUUCUUCAGAGGACUUAUUUGUUGGCUCGCAGGAAGGAUGUGAUCUUUAUAAUUGAUAUGAGUGGAAGCAUGAAGGGGGAUCCUCUUGAGAAUGCAAAGGGUGCAUUAGUAUCAUCACUUUCUAAACUCAAUUCUGGAGAUUCUUUCAACAUUAUUGCUUUCAACGAGAAGACCUACUUAUUUUCACAAUUAAUGGCUCCUGCAACGCAGGGAUCAAUAUCAAAAGCUACUCAGUGGCUUAGUGAUAAUUUAAUUGCAGAUGGCGGAACAAAUAUUUUGGAUCCUCUUAAACAGGCUAUGAAGCUGUUGGCUGAAACUACUGAUUCAAUGCCUCUUAUUUUCCUCAUCACUGAUGGCGCAGUUGAAGAUGAAAGAGAUAUUUGCAAUUUUGUAAAAGGCUCUCUCACAGGUGCAGGACCAAUUUCUCCUCGGAUAUGUACAUUUGGCAUUGGUACAUAUUGCAACCACUAUUUCUUGCAAAUGCUAGCACAAAUUGGAAGUGGUUAUUUUGAUAGUGCAUAUGAUGCAGAUUCGGUUGAUUUUCGAAUGCAGCGAUUAUUUGCAACUGCUUCAUCAGUCAUUCUAGCCAAUAUAACUGUGGAUGCCUUGGAACAUCUUGAUUCACUUGAGGUUCUUCCAUUUAGAAUUCCGGAUCUCUCAAGUGGCAUGCCAUUGCUUGUAUCAGGCAGAUAUAAUGGAAACUUUCCAGAAUCAAUUAAAGUUAGUGGUAUCUUGGCAGACAUGAGCAAUUUCACAAUAGAAUUGAAAUCACAAAAGGCUAAGGAUGUGCAACUUGAUAGAGUGCUUGCAAGGAGACAAAUUGACAUUCUCACAGCUAAUGCAUGGAUGUCAGAAAGCCAGGACCUUGAGCAACAGAUUGCGAAAAUGAGCAUUCAAACUGGGGUUCCAUCUGAAUACACCCAUAUGAUUUUGCAUCAGACUGAUACUGGGGAGAAAGCAACAGAAAAAAUUCUGAUGCAGGAGGUAUUCAACAAAAUUAAUUCACUUAGACAAGUGAACUCGGAAAUCCAGAAGGUCAUUUUCUUGGGGAACCUCGGUGUUGGCUUUGGAGACUUGGCUGCGACAGCAUCAAACAUUCCUCCAGGAACAGAUGAAAUAAAGUCACCUGAAGCUACAGAAGUGCUAGUUAAUGCUGCCUCCAAUCUGCUCGAUCGAUUCUGUUGCAUGUGCUUCAUUCAGACUUGCUCACGUAUGAACAACCAAUGUUCUAUAGCUCUCUCACAACUUUGUGUAGCCCUAGCCUGCUUCGAAUGCCUGAACUGUUGUUAUGAGCUUUGCGAAUGUGGAUAAAUUUGGAUAAAUUAUGAUGUAAAAAUGGUUGUUUAACAUGUAAAUUAAGGUGCAGAAACUGUAAUGUGAACUACUGUUCUGUUGUAAUGGAAGUUAGAAAAUCUGAUGAUGUUGAGCAUGUGAAGAAUUA